AGAGCUUGGGACAAAAAGAAAAUGCAAGCUGCUCGUUCAAAAAUGAUAUUUACAAUACACUCAACAGGAAUCUGGGUUCAUUGUAAGAAGGGGCACAAAAUUUGUGGGCUUCCUACGAACAAAUAUCCAACACGU